rnacentral:rRNA from 1 species
UACGGGGGGGGUAAGCGUUGUUCGGAAUUACUGGGCGUAAAGGGCACGUAGGCGGCCAACUAAGUCAGACGUGAAAUCCCUCAGCUUAACUGGGGAACUGCGUCUGAUACUGGAUGGUUUGGAUUCGGGAGAGGAAUGCGGAAUUCCAGGUGUAGCGGUGAAAUGCGUAGAUAUCAGGAGGAAUACCGGUGGCGAAGGCGGCAUCCUGGACCGGCAUUGACGCUGAGGAGCGAAAGCCAGGGGAGCAAACGGG